AAGUCCGUAACAAGGUCUCCGUUGGUGAACCAGCGGAGGGAUCAUUACCGAGUUUACAACUCCCAAACCCAAUGUGAACGUUACCAAACUGUUGCCUCGGCGGGGUCACGCCCCGGGUGCGUCGCAGCCCCGGAACCAGGCGCCCGCCGGAGGAACCAACCAAACUCUUUCUGUAGUCCCCUCGCGGACGUAUUUCUUACAGCUCUGAGCAAAAAUUCAAAAUGAAUCAAAACUUUCAACAACGGAUCUCUUGGUUCUGGCAUCGAUGAAGAACGCAGCGAAAUGCGAUAAGUAAUGUGAAUUGCAGAAUUCAGUGAAUCAUCGAAUCUUUGAACGCACAUUGCGCCCGCCAGUAUUCUGGCGGGCAUGCCUGUCCGAGCGUCAUUUCAACCCUCGAACCCCUCCGGGGGAUCGGCGUUGGGGAUCGGGACCCCUCACACGGGUGCCGGCCCCUAAAUACAGUGGCGGUCUCGCCGCAGCCUCUCCUGCGCAGUAGUUUGCACAACUCGCACCGGGAGCGCGGCGCGUCCACGUCCGUAAAACACCCAACUUUCUGAAAUGUUGACCUCGGAUCAGGUAGGAAUACCCGCUGAACUUAAGCAUAUCAAUAA
rnacentral:rRNA from 1 species